rnacentral:rRNA from 1 species
AUGAAGGUGGGGCUGAUGCAGUUGUGGCCACCGAAAUUCGAAAAGACAUGGAAGAAGCUUGAGCUGAUCUAUCAUGUCUCGGAUGAAGAAGCCAGUGUUGUGCAACAGAAACAGUUGAGCUGGAUGAGUUGCUUUGUUGCGAGUAAGUUACGUGGCUACAGAGGUCAAGAAUCACAUGGAUUUGAGAGGGGGGAUCGCAACACGACCGACUUUUUUCACCGGAAGGCCACUUGGAGAGCAAAUAAGAACCGCUUAGCUUAUCUGAAGAACGGAGCAGACCAGAUUGUUAAUGAUCAGAAAACAGAUGGCAAGAGACUUCUUUGCUCAUCUACACACCAAGUACCAGUAAGUUAA